AAAAAAAAAAAUUAAAUAAUAUAUAAAACUCGAAAAUACUACACAAACCCCUCUUCUCUUCAUUUACAUAUAUUUUGCUCUCCUUUAAACCCUUCUGUUUUGUCAUACUAUUUCUCCUUUUGCCUCGUGGAACUGCGAUUCCGUUCUUCGUCUUCAAGGUACUUCCUUUGUGUUGUAGUUAUCGUAUCCAGAAAAGAUGAGUGUGGUUGGUUUUGACUUUGGGAAUGAGAGUGGCGUUGUUGCGGUUGCUAGGCAGAGAGGGAUUGAUGUCGUACUUAAUGAUGAAUCAAAAAGGGAGACUCCAGCUAUAGUCUGCUUCGGAGAGAAGCAACGAUUUCUCGGUACUGCUGGUGCAGCUUCAAGCAUGAUGAAUCCAAAGAAUACCAUCUCCCAAAUAAAGAGGCUAAUAGGGCGGCAAUUUUCAGAUCCCGAGCUGCAAAGAGAUAUUAAGACACUUCCCUUCUUAGUAACUGAAGGGCCUGAUGGAUAUCCCCUGAUCCAUGCACGAUAUUUGGGAGAAGUGAGAACUUUUACACCUACCCAGAUUCUUGGAAUGGUGUUUUCGGAUCUCAAAACUAUAGCAGAAAAGAAUCUCAAUGCAGUAGUAGUUGAUUGUUGCAUUGGAAUUCCAAUUUAUUUCACUGAUCUCCAGAGGAGAGCUGUAAUGGAUGCAGCCACCAUUGCUGGCUUGCAUCCUUUGCAUCUAAUUCAUGAGACAACAGCUACUGCAUUAGCAUAUGGUAUUUACAAGACAGAUUUACCUGAAAAUGACCCUCUGAAUGUUGCUUUUGUUGACGUUGGGCAUGCAAGCUUGCAAGUUUGUAUUGCUGGCUUUAAGAAAGGCGAAUUGAAGAUAUUGGCUCAUUCAUUUGACAGAAAUCUUGGUGGGAGGGAUUUUGAUGAAGCUAUUUUCCAACACUUUGCUGCAAAGUUCAAAGAAGAAUACAAAAUAGAUGUUUACCAAAAUGCUAGGGCAUGCAUUAGGCUUCGAGCUGCUUGUGAAAAGUUGAAGAAGGUUCUCAGUGCAAACCCCGAGGCACCUUUAAAUAUAGAGUGUUUAAUGGAUGAGAAGGACGUUAGAGGGUUUCUGAAGAGGGAUGAGUUUGAGCAAAUCAGCAUCCCUAUACUGGAGAGAGUGAAGAAACCACUGGAGAAAGCUCUUGCUGAAGCUGGGCUUACUACUGAGAACAUUCAUGCAGUUGAGGUUAUUGGGUCAAGCUCCCGAGUACCUGCAAUUAUGAGGAUUUUAACAGAGUUCUUCGGUAAGGAACCGAGGCGCACCAUGAAUGCAAGUGAAUGUGUGGCCAAAGGUGCUGCACUGCAAUGCGCUAUUCUCAGUCCUACCUUUAAAGUGCGAGAAUUCAAGGUCAAUGAGAGCUUCCCUUUCCCAAUUGCAUUAUCUUGGAAGGGGCCUGCUCCAGAUGCACAAAAUGGAGCUUUAGAGAAUCAUCAGAGCACAAUUGUUUUUCCCAAAGGGAAUCCGAUACCCAGUGUGAAAGCUCUGACAUUCUACAGAUCUGGCACAUUUACAAUAGAUGUACAGUAUGCUGAUGUCAGUGAACUGCAGGCGCCAGCAAAAAUCAGUACUUACACGAUUGGACCAUUCCAAUCUACGAAGGGUGAAAGGGCUAAACUAAAAGUCAAAGUACGCCUAAACCUGCAUGGUAUCGUCUCUGUUGAGUCUGCAACACUUUUGGAAGAAGAAGAGGUGGAAGUCCCAGUUGUGAAAGAGACAGCUAAGGAACCUGCCAAAAUGGAAACAGAUGAAUCUUCAGUUAAUGCUGCUCCUUCAACUACAGCAGAAAGUGAUGUAAAUAUGCAGGAUGCGAAAGGAGCUGCAGCUGCUUCAGGGGCUGAGAAUGGUGUUCCAGAGUCUGGAGACAAACCUGUCCAAAUGGAGACAGAUGCUAAGGUUGAAGCCCCUAAGAAGAAGGUCAAGAAGACAUCUGUACCAGUGACUGAAAUUGUUUAUGGUGCAAUGGCAGCUGCUGAUGUUCAGAAGGCUGUUGAGAAAGAAUUUGAAAUGGCUCUUCAGGACCGUGUUAUGGAGGAGACAAAGGACAAAAAGAAUGCUGUUGAGUCCUAUGUUUACGACAUGAGGAAUAAGCUUUCAGAUAAAUAUCAAGAGUUUGUAACUGAUUCAGAAAGAGAACAAUUUAUGGCUGUACUUCAAGAAGUGGAAGAUUGGUUGUAUGAAGAUGGAGAGGAUGAAACUAAGGGUGUUUACAUUGCCAAGCUUGAGGAGCUUAAAAAGCAAGGUGACCCGAUUGAGCAACGAUAUAAGGAGUACACUGAGAGGGGUCCUGUGAUUGAUCAAUUUAUUUAUUGCAUAAAUAGUUACAGAGAGGCGGCAGUGUCAAGUGAUCCGAAGUUUGAUCACAUUGAUUUAGCAGAUAAGCAGAAGGUUUUGAAUGAGUGUGUCGAAGCCGAGGCUUGGUUUAGAGAGAAAAAGCAGCAGCAGGAUGCUCUUCCAAAAUAUGCCAACCCUGUUCUAUUGUCAGCUGAUGUUCGAAAGAAGGCAGAGGCACUUGAUAGGGUCUGUAGGCCUAUAAUGACAAAGCCUAAGCCAGCUAAGCCAGCAACUCCCGAGACACCACCACCUCAAUCUCCUCAAGGAGGUGAGCAACAACCUCCGAGUGCAGAGAGUCCUGAUGCAGGAAAUGCAACUGAGGGUGCCAGUGUUGGCAGUGAAGUACCACUUGCUGCUGAGCCAAUGGAGACUGACAAAUCUGAGACUGCACCAAGUGCGUCAUGAGUUAAGUUGAUGGUUUGAUCUUCAAAGAGCUUAUGAAGGCACAGACCUGGGUUCGUUUUGUAUUACUUUUGUCAUUUUACCCUAGACUUUUUAAAGGAUCUAUAGUAGCAAUCAACAUUUUGUCGUUAGAUUGGUGUGAUCAAUUUCGUCUGGCCAUGUCCGUUCAGGCUAUAUUAUUGUUAAUGAUACUCUAAAAUCCUGGCUUUCAGGGAUUUUGUUUCAAUGUGAAAUUCAAUUGCUGUUCUU
rnacentral:misc_RNA from 1 species